AAGAAGGUUUCAUCAAGAACAUCCCCCUUGCCCGCUACUCGUAAGUCAUGGCCUUCGACACCCUCACCAAGAACAACAGGGAUAUCACCUGCUAAAACUUCUGGUGGAAUCUCUUCUGCUGGCACUACACCAACACAUCGGAAACCUCAGUCAGCACAAUCAGUACCUCGACCAAGUUCUAAAGUGGAAAGCGCCCAGCCAGAAAGAAAAAAUGUAAAGGCAACCCAGGCUGAUAAACGAGGUUUAAAGAGUGUGAAUGAGAAGCAGCAACAAAGAUUGAUGAAAGGCAGCAAAACACCAAAGACAAAAGUUGCCGCAGCACCUGGAGACUCUUCCAGUAUGGUUCCAGCAAAGCCUAGUUUGUAUAACAAGAUGACCAAGAAAAGUAGUGUAGUUCCGCUGGAAGCAAAGCCAUUUCUCCGUAAAGGUUCAGGAUUUACCUCUAGUGUUGGUCUCGUUAACAAGAUAAAAAAUCCCUCUCUGUUGGAGGACUCUCUGAAAACCACUGAAAAUUCAAUUGAUACUCAAGAGAGUGAUGUGAUUGUUAAUGCUUCUGUCCUGGUGAAUGAGCAUCAGGAUCAGGAUAUUUCAUCACUGGAUCAUUGUGAUGAUGAUAUUCAGUUAGAAACACAAGUAAAUGGCCAUCAGAAAUCUGAUGUGAUUGAGAGCAUUGAUGAACUUGCUCCUGAUGUUGAUGAUGGCUUAAAAAAUAUUGCUGAGUCUUCAAAAUGUGAGGAAGAAUUAACCAUCUCCCCAGCUGCUUGGGUGGAAAUAGAAGAGCAUCAGGACCUGCCUAACCAAUGUGAUGACAACACAGGUGAAAAUACAUCUUCAGCAAGCAUUGCUCCUGUUGGAUCGGCAAGUCCACGGGUCCGUCACUCUCUGUCACAGAUGCUGCAAGAAGAAAGUAGUGAAGCUGAUACUACUGAAUGGGGAAAUGCUGAAAAUCCGCCUGCAAUGGUCUAUCAAAAAGAUGCACCCAAGGGACUGAAGAGGCUGUUGAAGUUUGCUCGGAAGAGUAAGGGGGAUGCAAAUAUAACUGGUUGGUCUAGCCCAUCAGUCUUUUCUGAAGGAGAGGAUGAUGCAGAAGAAUCAAAAGCUAUUAAUAAGAGAAAUGCUGAUAACCUACUGCGAAAGGCUGCCCUUCAGGCAAAGAACUAUGGGCAACAAAAGAUGUCGUGUGAGGGCUAUGAAAAUCAUUUGGAUGCUCAUGAGCUCCCAUCUGGUAUAUUCUCUCUUUGCCAUAUGCAUUACAUGCUUCUUUUCUAUCAAACUGUUUCUCAAAUAGAAAGAAUCUAGAUGGUUACGGGUCAAAAGCAUAGAAAUAGCUGCUUUCAUGCUUGUGGCAUAUCAUUCUAUACCUUGUCUAUUUUUGCUUCUUUGCUCAACUUUCUGGGAAAUUCCAAAAUACUUGUGAAUAUUUACCAUUACCUGACUCUUCACCGAGUCUCACUAUGAAAGUAUUCUGGAUUUUGUGCAUGCAGCUCAAUCAGGCAUCAGCACAUUUGAUGCCCACAAAAUGCACAAGGGCAGUGUCUCAACUGCAGCCUCCACUACUAAAGGUCAUUUUCCAUCUUCAUUACUCUCUUGCUGUUUCCUUUGUUCCUUUUCCUUUCAAUUUUCUGGAAUAAUUGUUUAUUCUGUUUUUACUUGGCUGCAGUAUGAUUUGUAGUUGCACAUUCCAAUCUUUUUUUACCAUGAUUGUGUUUCAGGGACAAGGUCAUUCUUCUCCCUUUCAGCAUUUAGGGGUAGCAAACCAAGUGAGAUGAAGCUUCGCUAAAACUAGGAUGAUUACAAAAGUCAAGGUUAUUGACAUAUGCUCGCUUGCAGUCUUAGGCUAACUAAGCUUUGCUGGAGGCCAAAAUUUCCUCUGCUUUUCUCUUAUCAUUUUUCUGGUGUAUUGUUUUGCAUGUCAGCCGCCAGGGAUCAUGUCUAUGCUUGGGUUUUGUGUUGGUGGGGUGUGCAUGUAUAUACAGUACGUUGCAGUAUUAGGAUUUCCAUCCUGCUAAACAGAUUGUUCCAUGUUAACCACUAUGUUGAGGACAUGAAACAAUGAUGAAUUAAUUGAUUUUGUUUGGUACGAGCACAUUAUAACAGCGUUCAAACUUUUCAAGCCUUUGUUCCCUGAAACCCUGUAGACAGCCAGAUUCUUAUAUCACUACAUGGAAGCCUUGGGACACUAAGCACACCGUGACUGGCAUGCGUAUGGUGACUGGCAACCAUAUAACCUUGGAUUCCCAUUUGUUGACUCAACUAGUUCCUAUGGUUGAUCAAAGAAUCUGCAGUUUUCAUUCUUCCAAGGCUGGGCCUUUCACUUAUUUGCUUCAGCAGCUACUGGAUUGGAGAAUUUCCAGCAUAACACAUUCCUUUUAACACCAUGUGUUUGUAUUGGAAUUGCUUUCAGAUUCGGAAAUGAAACGGCAAGCGUGUAGUUCAAACUUCAAACUUCAAAGUGUGAAGCUGUAUAAAUAAUUAUAGUUUAACGACUUGCGUGUCCAGCUUAGCUUAUGAAACAGCUUCUCAUGAUUAAUAGAAUGAAAAAAAGAAAAUUAAACAUAAAAUCCUAUUACAUUGUACUCUUAGAAGAACUCCCAAUCUUGAGCAACAUCUUAACAGGUUUGAAAUAGAUGAUAUCUGUCUUCAGUUCCCUCCUUUUUUAUUUUUAGGUGAGCAGUAAUAAAAUUCAGCAUGAACAAUUGAACAACUCCCAGAGUUCAGACCAAGUUCAAAAACCAGUGAAGAUAAGCAUAAAGAGGAACUGGAACACCCACCCCCCCUUCGUUUUCCUCCUCUACCUUCCCUUUCCUGGCUUCACAACAUAUUAACCAUUUCUACCCUUUAAGCUAAAAGCACAAAGGUCUGUCCUUUUGCCUCUAUUGAAAUGCUCAAUGAAAUAAUAAUCAUGAGAAUUAUCACAAACAACUCUGAAACAUGCAUUUUCUCAGAGAUAUUAGGUCAGCUUGUAUCUGUAGCUAAAGAUAUGGAAAUUCACAGAAAGUUGAAUUCAACAAGCAUCAAUAGCAAAGAAGCAGUUGAAAGCAGCUACAGCCAAGAAGCUAUUCCACCGCAGUUAGCUUCAUAACGCAACCAUUUAAUUACUCAAUGACAAACAAGUUCAGUUCAAAUACUGAUAGAUAUCUCAACAGCGAAAAUAAUCAUGAUAUAAAACUAUUGAUCAGACUUUUAAUAUAUUUGAGAGAUCCUGACUACAAGAAUAGCUAGACCAUUAUAAAAGAUAGAUGAACAAAAGAGAUGAUUUUCAGAGUGGCAAUUGAACCUUUCACCCCCGCAUCACUGGUCCUAAAGAUGGCUGCCCCACAAUCUAAUCUGAUCUCAAUGAAUGCUGCCCUGAAAAUUCAGAGGAUCCAAAUGGCUGCUGUCCUGCCAUUUGUGAAGGUCCUGAAUAUUGCUGUCCUGCCAUUUGUGAAGGUCCAGUAUAUUGCUGUCCUGCCAUCGGAGGGGAACCUAAUGACCGCGGUGGUGGCUGUCCCCAAGAUCGAGCUUGAGGCCCAGGGAAUCUCCACCUAUUUUCAUUUAAAACUCUAUCAAUCUCUUCAUUCCGCCCAACUUUCCCAAAAGCCCCACGUACAAACUCCUGCAAUGCAGGAGUAACACCAAUGGAAUACUUCAUCAUCUGGUCCAGUAUAUCUAGGGUCUUGUCCAACUCAUCAGCAUUGCAAAGCCCUCUGACUACAAUAUCAUAAAUAGAGGCAUCCGGUUUAGGAUCUUUCUCCCCCAUUUUUGUCAAAAGAGAUGCAGAUUCCAUGUUCUUGCCAUUCUUAAGAAAUUCACUGAAAACCUUAGCUCCAAAACUGGCAACCACCCUCAAACCAGUCUCCACCAUUUUUGUAAAUGACUGCAGAGCAUCAUCAACCCGCUCUGCUUUCAAGUAUGCAUCAAUCAUGGUUCUAUACAUUGGAACAUCUGGCGUCAAAGACUUUCCACACAAUUCUUGAAAAAAUUUCUCCGCCUCAGAUAGCAUCCCAUGCUCACAAAACCUGGUGAUGAUAUUAUUAUAACCAGCAACAUCCAUGGCAAAAGGCUUGGAUCCAGGCUUCGUGCCUACCUUCUUAAAGGUUCUAAUGGCCUCCUCAAUAUUCCCCAACUUGAAACACUCAUUCACCAUGAUAUUAAAAGUAUCUGAAUUCACUGCCUGUAUGUUGGGUGGGGUGUGAUUGUCCAACAUAUCAUCGAACAAGGCCCAAGCUUCUUUCGUCUUCCCAUGUUUAAGCAAAACCUCCAAAAGUGCAUUACAAGUAGGAGGGGGCAUCUUAAAUUUCCUAUCCAACAACGACUUAUAUGAGUCCAUGGCCUCCUUAUCCUUCCCCUGAUUAAACCACCACUCCAUAAACGUAGCAUUGACAACUCCAUCAUAAACCAAGCAACGCUCUUUCAAUUCAUCAAACAGCUCAUUGGCCUUAUCCAGAUUCCCCAAAUUCAAAAAUCCCAAUAUGAGGUUGUUGAAAACCAAAGAGUCGGCACCGUGCCCUUUAUUCAACAUCUCCCUGAGCAGAUCCACAGCUUCCCCAAUCCUCCCAGCAUCGAUCAAGCCCUUAGUCAAGUGCCUAUAAGUCACAGGAGAGGGGUUAAACGGCGCGUUUUCCAAAAUCUCGUGGUAAACUCGGAUAGCAGUAUCAACUUCACCCGUAUCGCAAUAGGUAUUAAUCAAAUUGUUGUAAGAAACAACAUUUGGAACAAUAUCAGAUUGCUUAAAGAAGAAGUGAAAGAGAGCAAUUGCCUCGUUGAAGCGUUUGUUGCGGUACAUGGCGGCGAUGAUGGCGUUGCAGGUGAAGACAGUGGGGCGAGUGGAGGAGAACACGGAGGAGCGAGCAAGGAGAGAGGCGGCGUCUAGGUCGGAGGCGCGGAUAAGGGACUGAACACGGUUGUGAAGGUUAAGCCGAUGCCCAACGAGGGCCGAGGUGCUGUCUGGAAGCCGCGGGGCAUUGGGAUCACGAGUGGGAGGGCCAGAGGGGGCAGAGGCACGGAGGGCGUGUAUUGGGGGCUCUAUUCGCAAUCGACGCUUGCGGCGGCGUCGCUCUGCCGCGGCUUCUUCUGCGGAAGUGAAGGCGUAAGAGCGCGGGGGUGGGGGAGGAGUGUGAGCCUGAGGAUUUUGGAUUGGGUUUUCAGAGGCAGGGUUGAACGCUGCAUUGUGGAGGAAGCAGGAGAGGGGAAGGGCCGCGUUGGGACGCUGGUGGAGGUGAUGGUGGUUGAGGGAGCGGAGAAGAAGGCGGUAGAGGGACAUGGCUAAUGCAGAGAGCGAGUGAGAGACGAACCAAAAUGCUUAAACCCUAGACAGCUGAUGCCUAAACCUUAGACUUAAAACUGUCUCUGUCUCUGCUUGAGUUUUUUAUGUUUUCUUUUGUAUUAAUAAAUAAAGUUAAUUUAUAAAUGCAUGUAGGAGUGGAGAAAAAAGAUCUUAUAUUUUUAUUAAUGCUUAAAACUAUUAUUUGAGUAAUACCUAUUUUGUAUUUAAUUUUGAUUAAAAUAAAUAAUUUAAAGAUAAUAUCACACUUAAUUUAAGUUUUUAAUUAAUUUUGAAUUAAAAAAAUUAUAAUAUUUGAUUUUUUAAUGAGAAUUGGAUAAAUUUUUUUUUAAAAAAAAGAAAAGAAUGAAUGAUUCAAAAAGAAUAAUAACUAAAUAACAAAAAAAAUAAAAUUUAUUUUCAGUGAGAAUAUUUUAUGCAAGUUAAAAAAAUUUGAGCUGUGAAAGUAGGCAAGCCAAGCCUAUCACAGAAAAGAAAGCAGUUAAGAAUGGAAAAGCUUAGAUGUUUGGCUCCACAGAGCGUGAGGCGGAGGGUGGCAGAGAGCAGUGCUGAUGAUCUUCCUUCAUUAUCGUACUCCCUUGUUGACCUGUUUCUCAGUUUGCCGGAAUUUCAUCAGUUGAUCGGAGAGUUGAAAGAGGAAGACCAGUCUGCUUUGGACUCGAAAUAAAAGGGCAAAAAUCUUGUUGUGAGUCUGUCACCUGUGCUCUACUAAGUGUGUGUUUGUUUUUGGGUAGAAAAUGGACCUCCCAGCGUAAUACCAUCUCACAAUUUUCCGUUUUGUUAUAUGCCAUUAAGUAGAGUAGAGUAGAGUGAUGUUUAUACCCACACAAAAUGAGAUGAGAUGUCUACAAAUUAAUUUAAUAGAAUAGAUAAUAAAACCAAAAAGUUAUGAAAACAUAUAUAAAUAAAAUCUAAUCACAUAAUUAAUAAAUGUCUACAAAUUUAAUAGAUAAUAAACCAAAAAACUAUGAAAACAUAAAUAAAUUAAUACAUAAAAUCUAAUCACAUAAUUAGUAAAUGUCUAAAAUAACUUGAUUCAUAGCAACUAGAAUAGCUUGAUCCACAACGAUGGGAAAAAUGAAUUAAGCAGAUCCGAUGCUUCAUCAUCAUCUAUAUACUCUACGUCUUUCUUAUAAUCACAAUUGUAAAUACCUAUAUCAGAGACACUAACUCGAGUAUAAUUAAAAGGAAUAUCAUCCGUACAAUUAAGCUUGCAACUAGGGUGGUCAACUAUCAAGAUGGAAAAAGUGCAACAAUUUCCAAAAAACAAAGAGUGAUCACCCAAUGAUAAAAUUUUCUCUCAAUUCUUUGUAUGCAUGUCAAGUUUGAAAUUUUCAAAAUUUUUCGUUAAAUUAACUCGUUCAACUUUUCCACUAUCAUAACUAACCUUAUACGGAUAAUGUUGGCGAAUUAUCAUACAAAGAUGACCUCCCCAAUCAACAAUAUAUUUCUUCUCAUCAUCAGGAUAAUCCAUUGGAGGUGGUGCAGCAAAUUCAACAACUUUUGGAGAUGGCCCAUUUAAGUCCUCAAAUAAAAUAAGUUGCCCCGUACGCCGAACAGCAAAGAAAUUGCCAUUGAUAUAGUUGACAUCAUCCAAUAGACAAGCAUCGUCCAAUAGAGAGGUAUCAUCCAAUAGAGAGAGGUAAAAGAAAUUUGAGUCCAUGCUUGAUCACCGGGUUUUGCAAAAGCUAACGAAUCCAUCUCCCCAUAAACUCUAUGUCCAUAAAUUAUCAUAACAAUACAAUCAGAGGAAGUUGGACUCGAGGAUAAUAAGACUUUGUGUAUAAAAUAUAAACGCAAUUGUUGUGGUGUAUGGUGCGUUAUAUCAUAGUCUAAGGUUCGUUGUGAUGGAAGGGAGAUACUUGCUCUCGAUAAAGGAUUAAACAAUCCAAUUUCAAGAUCAAGGCCGUAAUUGACCAACCAACCAAAAGGAGUGCCCCAGCAUCUCUUUCCUCGGAUCUCCGGCAGUUCAAGCUCAAGGAUAGUUUCUGUUGCACCAAUAUUAAAACAACGUCUAUCACUAUUCUUUUUCUCUGCAAGCAUAAAAAAUUAUAUGAAAAUUGAUUUUUUCAUUCUUCAGUGAAGCUUGCCAAGAUCGACAAACUGCGCCCAUCCGAACACGAUCUUGAAAAGAGUAAGUUUUAUCGGCAAUGGAUCUUAACAUCUCACCUACAAUAUUACCCCAAUCAGCGACUUGUUCUUUCAUGAGAGACAUGAUGAAGUAGAAAAGAGGAGCAAUUUGGUUUUCUUUCUUUCUUUGCAGGAUAGUUAAUGAUUUGGGUUGUGACUCCUAACCUCAUCUUUUAUACAUGAUCUUUCCUAUUCCUCGUAGAACCUGAAUUGACUUAUAGUACAUUCUAAAUAGGAAUAAUGAAUUUAAUUGCAUUGAUGAAGUAAAAGUAGUGCUGUCUAAGGACUCUUGAAACUCGGAGGAAGGGAAUUCGCAUGAAAAGUUAAUUAAUUAAAUUUGAGCAGACAUGCGGAGGCUGCUCUGAAAGUAGGCAAGCCUAUCGCACAAGAAAGAGAGCAGUCGAGAAUGGAGAAGCUUAGAUGUUUGGUUCCAGAAAGCGUGAAGCGGAGGGUGGCAGAGAGCACUGCUGAUGAUCUUCCUUCAGUUUCAUCUUCCCUGGUUCACUUGUUUCUCAGUUUGCCGGAAUUCCAUCAGGUGAUCGGAGAUUUGGCAGACCCCGGCCCAAACCCAAAGAGAAAGGCCGGUCUUUGCUGCAAGAACAAGGAGGCUGCUUUGGACUUGAAACAAAAGGGCAAUCAAUGCUAUUCCACUGGAGAUUACUCCCAGGCUUUGCGUUGCUAUUCCCAGGUCUUUUCUUCUUUUAUAUUCCAUUAAUGAUUGAAAUAAAUACGUUAAAGAAUUUGCCUUUCUUAUUUUUCUAUCCAAAAAAAUAAAAAUCCCUUGUUUUUUGCUCGAGCAACAGGCGCUUCGUGUUGCUCCCAUUGAUGCCGACGACACGGGCAAAAAUCUUGUUGCAACAUUGUAUUUAAAUCGAGCUUCCUUAUUUCACGUGAGUCUGUCACUUGUCACUGCCAAAUUCUAUUUUUGUUUUCCUCUUGUGCUCCACUACAGCCACCCUUUUUUGGUCAUCCAAUUCUAAGAGAAAACAAGUCUUUUCCAUUGUUAAUUUCUCUAAUGUGUUUGUUUUUCGGUAGAAAAUGGACCUCCCAAUGGAGUCUCUCCGAGAUUGCAGCAGGGCUCUUCAAAUUUCUCCUUGCUAUCCAAAGGUACAUAUCAUUUGCUGCUUCCCAUACACAGUUAUUAAUAUGGCUUUCUGUUGUGCCAAACCACAUAUGCCAUUUCUUUCCUUUUAUUUCUUUCUGCUUCCUGCUUAUUCCACCAAACUACUCGGUGGCAGUGACAAAUCUUUAUCACAGGCGUGGUAUAGGAGAGGCAAGGUAAAUGCUACUCUGGGGAAUUAAGAAGAUGCGGUCCAUGACUUAAUUGCUGCUAAGAACAUGGAGCCAUCACUAGGGGGAAAGCAACAGAUAGAAAGUGAACUGGAUAUACUUGGACAGCAUCAUGACAGGAAAAGUGCUAAAUCAGUUCACCCUAACCAGAUAAGUGUAGGAAUUCCAGGUUAGAUGGUAACCACUGAUCAGCAUCCAAAUAUCUCUGUUUUUGCGCUUGCAUUUUUCAUCAAUAACCAAUCCUUUUUUAAAUUUUUUUUCACAUUUUGCUUUCCUAUGACCAUUCUAUUAAAAGUCAUAGAGAAUUUUGAAAUUCUUAUACUUGUUCGUUACAAUUGUUUGUAAUCUCUCGCAGAGAAGAAUUAUAUUUGCUUAUAAAGUCCUUAUACAGGCUUUAUUGCUGCCUAAACACAUUGUCUUAGAGGUUUUGUAGAUUGAUUAGCUUUUAUGUCAGUAAGCAUCACAAUUGUGUGAUCUGCCUUGUAGUUACUUUGAGGAUUGGUGUUUAUUAUUUAUUCCAAUCUUGUAUUUUUUUGGUAUAUACUUGUAACACAAGGUGAUUUUUUAAAAAAAAAAUUAUGAAGACAGUACAAAUCAUUUGUCAGAUGUGCCCCACCAAAUAAAACUAAACUGUGUCACAACACCAGAUAAAGGAAGGGGUAUGGCUUCCCAAUUUGAAAUUCCAGAAACAAUCGGCGUUGAGUCUCAUUUGCAGGUACUUUAAUUCCUUUGUGGUGCAAUUUGGAGUUAAGAUUGGCUAUACAGUAAAAGAAUGAGUAGAGGCUAGCUGAAUCCUCUGCUAAAUACUAAAACAAAAUAUCUGUUUUAAAUUCCUAUAAAGGAAUGGUUAAUACAUUAAAUUUUUUUUUUUUUGGAAUGGUUAAUACAUUCUAGUUAAUAUUCAACAAUUGCCAAUAAUAGAUGAAUAUAUUGGUAAGGAAACAGUUGUUACUUAAUUAAUGUACUUUUCUCAGAAACUUAAUUAAAGCAUGUCUUAUGGUUUUGUGAACAUUAUUUUGUAGUAUGUAGGUUAUUUGUGUGGAAUUUCGUUGGUUUUUCCAGAGUUGGUUUGAUGGACUAUGUAACUUUUGUAAAUCUCCAGUCACAUGAGCUCAAUGAUAUUGACAUCAAGAAAGUAGCUCACAUUUCACUUGAUGAAACAUGUAGUUCGCUCCGUAUUGAUUCUGAGUAUUGCUUGAAAUGUGGUUCCUGCUGCUAUUUGGCUUCUAUGAGUGAAGCAGUUAAAAAAGCUUGGGUUAAUCUCAGAAGGUAUACAGUUAAUAUGCACCAAGGCUUUUGUGAUGUUCUCGAUUAUAUUCUUUCUGAAUCUAUGGAAUCACAUAUCAGGAUCUUGGUUCUGUUUCUUUUCUUUUUUUUUUUUUUUAAAUAUAAUCUUGUCAAGAUUAUAAUCUCUGAGUCUAGGCUGUACUUUUCGCAUUCAUUUUAAAUUAUGUUGUAAAGCCUUAACUCAUGAUAAAUAGAUGUACAUACUGCCCUACAGAGAAGCACAUAUGUUUUACCUACAGUUUGUUCAUUGCCUAAUAGGCUGCAGGAUUCAAUAACUUUAAAAGAUAUGCACGGUACUGAGCUUUCAGAUGCUUUGAGAUCUGUUGGCAUUCUGAGAUCAAUGCUGCAUGCUUAUAACAAAGGCAUUGGAGAAGUGAGUUUCAUUGACUAAUUAUUAGCCCCUUCCCAGAAGCUCUGCCAUUCUGAGUUUAAUGGGAAUUACAACCGAUGAUAUGAGAUGUUACCAUGUAUGAAAUUGUCUUUUGCAGGCAGAGGACAAUCUUGCACAGGCAUUUUGUUUCACAGGAGAUUUGCAGCCAGCAAGAGACCAUUGUAAAGCAUCGACUGAGGUAACUGCUUGCCAGUGCAAGAAUCAUAUGGCUAUUCAAUUCUGAUGAAUCCAGUUAUAACUGGUUAUAACUGUUGGUUUAUGUUAACCAGUUAUAACUAUUUAGUCUUUUGUUUACUGCUUUGAUGUUAAGAACAAUUUUUAAAUCAUAUUAGUGCAGUUAUAAGGUAUCAAAUGUUUCAUGAAUUGGUUAAAUGAGAAAAGAUAAUGAUAGUUAAGAGAAGAGGAGGAAGGAGUAAAAAUGGGAAGAGUGAGUGGGGAGAGAUCUACUAGAGGCUCCCAAAUCAUUUCACCAUUUCUUCAAUAAACUUUAAAUGUCUAAUAUCAAUUCUUGACAUCAGAAAUGUUCUGUGAAUAGGGACUGUGUCAAACCUAAUAAAUCAAACUGGCUGUUGGGGUUCUGGAAAAACUCUUGCCACAUUUACCCAGAGUAAGCAACUUGUACACCAAAGGAUUCAAUGCUAACUUCAAACUCCAACCACCUGAGAAUCUAAAGAGUUCUGCAUGGUUUACUAAAUCUACUUUGAGCAGGUUCUUAAUUGUUUUACUACCUUAAGCAUUUCACAUUUUCCAUUUUUUCAUUCUGGUCAGUAUAUUGCUAGAAAGCAGUGGGCGCCUACUGUCCUUACACUGUUGUACUUUCUCAGGUUCCUACAUAUUGUCAGUUCAAUUGGAGGAAGCUAGAAAAUUUCAUCUUUCUCUAUAUGCUAAGGUAAGAUCAUGUGUCCUUAAGUGUGUGGAUUUUUAUUCAUGCAGGAGACCUCAAUAACAAAAACUUCAUCUUUUUAGGGUCAUGAAGAUCAUAUUGAAAGCAGCAAAACCGGUAAAUCUUAUGUAGAAGGAAAUCAGAGUCGGACACUAGUCAUUGCCUUGAUAUAUUCCCUUAGUUUCAUAGUCUGUUUGUUUGUUUGUUUUUUUCUAAAUGUUACAAUCUUCUUAAAUACUUUGAUACUGUAGGAGUAUUAUUCCUUAUUUUACUUUCUAUCUGUUCAUAUUCGUAUAGCAAAUAGACUGAAAAGCUUCAACUUUAGUAUUCUUUUGAUUAAGGUUUCCUUUUAAACUAUUUGGGGACAUAAGUUGUAUCCCUUUUCUGUCUUGCCAAUCUCCUUAAUUUUGUGUUGCAUAAAUGGUGCCUAAAAGUUUUGAGAGAUUUAAUGGUUCUCUUUCCUUGUUCAACAGAUAUCUGCAAAUCAGUAGACGUGGUCCUGGCAUCCAAUGUAACCGCUAUUCUUUACAACUUUUUGUAAUCAAUUUUUUCUUAUAGGGUCUUUAGGAGUUGAUCUUAUUAUUCUACAUGUUAUUUCACCAUAAUUUAUUGUGGUCACUAAUAUAUGCAUUUGACCUCAGCAGUCCAAAGUCCCGAAUUCAUCAUCAGAUAUCUCAAAGUAUGUUCACUCCAUUAAUAUAUAUAUCUAUAUAUGUUGUUAGUUAGUUAGUGUGUUUUAGUUUUCCUGCAAAUCUGACCAACCUUUGGAAAUUUUAUUGCUAGAAAUGAGCUCUUAUGUGCUAUAGACUCAAGACUGGCAGCAUUAAGAAGUGAGUUAGUUGCAGCUUUUAACCAGGCAGUUGGAGAAACCUGCUCCUAUGAAGAAAUCACUCAUCUAGCAAAAUUUUGUGAAAAUUUUGGAGCAAAUGAUUUAAAGUAAGUUGCCUUCCAAAAGAAGCAUGGAUCUUUUAAAUUCUGAUUUGCCCAUAGAAUUUGUAAAUGCAAUCUUUUCUUACCAAAAAUUUUGUUCCCAAAUUUUUACAACAUUUUUUCAAAAAAAUUAUAAGCAAAAGAUAAUCUUGUUAGUAUCUAUUACAGGAAUUUUUUGUGCAUGUUCCUAGAGCUGAGCCCAAAGAGCCAAGCUGCUAAUGCCCCAGAUGAUGAAAAGUCUUCAUUUAGUCAUGCUUCAGUGAAUGACAGCAUAAUUAAGACUGAUGGAAAUAAUCAAAUAUCAAAGCCAGUAUGUUCAGAAACACCAGUUAAAUAUGGUGUUUCACCAGCAAAAGUUGCCCAGGUUGAACGUCAGAGUGCAACAGAAAGUGAGGAAUCUUCUGACUCAAGUGAUGAGAAUCAAAAGUCUGCAGAAAGAAGUCGAGUCUUAUAAGAUCUGCAUCCCCUUGACGGUCAGCAUCUCCCAUGCGAAGGGUUCAAAUAGGGACGAGCGGCUCUUGUAGAGCCCCUGCUCUGACCAUUAAGAGCCUUAGUUACUUUCCUACCAAAGAAAAGAUUUUUUCUCACAGAGAUGUAGCUUCAGAUGAUAGUGAAGGCGAAGGAUCUGGGCAGAGUAAGAAGCCUGAGGGUAAUGUUCGGCGUAUGAGUGUUCAAGAUGCAAUAAAUCUUUCUGAAAGUAAACAAAGGGAUCAGGUUUCUGAUAUGCCACAAAAGAACUCAUUAACAAACGUCUCUCUUGGUGCUAGUAAGUCUGUAUUGAAAAGAUGGAGUGCAGGUGUGGGUGAAUCAUCCUCCCAAUGCCAAUUGCAGAAUGCUUCUGAAGAUCCUGUUCCAGAGCCUCCUGAUAAUGUCAUUGAUAAUGAUACCAUGGGGAGGUCAGCAGGAGUUGAUUUGGAAUCUGAUUCUAGAAGUGGAGGUCAGAUCAUCAAUGAGACUGUUGAUGUGAACUUAGAAAGGCUGGAAGAGAGCUCAUGUAGUCCAAUAGAUGUUCAAGAGGUCACAGAUAAAAUCCAAGAAGAUGAAGCUAAUGAAAGGUCAGAAAGCUCAGCUGAAUGGAGUAGACAGAAGGAAGUGGAGUUAAACCAAACGUUCAAAAAAAUGAUGGAAAAUCAGCCUGUUAGCUGUGGGAAGCCUCAAACUAAUGUCAGACAAAAUCUGCCUCCGGAGCAGAGAGGUGGAUUUUAUGACCAUUACAAGGUGAAGAGGGAUUGCAAACUGAGAGGUGAAAAUGCUGGAAAGCAUGCUGAAAAAGAAGAAAAAUUUAGAGCAAUGCAGAAGGUUCUUGAUGAGAGGAAAGCUGAAAUGGCUUCCAAAAAUGUGAAUAAUUUUUCUAAAAAGGAUCCUCCAACAAAGUCCCAAAAAUCUGUUAAGAAUCCACCAAAAGUACUUAAGAGUCCUUAUCAGCCUGCUAAUGCAAGGAAAGAAGCCACAAAACCUUCAACUGUGAAGAAGGUUUCAUCAAGAACAUCCCCCUUGCCCACUACUCGUAAGUCAUGGCCUUCAACACCCUUACCAAGAACAACAGGGAUAUCAUCUGCUAAAACUUCUGGUGGAAUCUCUUCUGCUGGCACUACACCAACACAUCGGAAACCUCAGUCAGCACAAUCAGUACCUCGACCAAGUUCUAAAGUGGAAAGUGCCCAGCCAGAAAGAAAAAAUAUAAAGGCAACCCAGACUGAUAAACGAGGUUUAAAGAGUGUGAAUGAGAAGCAGCAACAAAGAUUGAUGAAAGGC
rnacentral:lncRNA from 1 species